UUUAACUCAUGCUACAGACCUAUUACAGAUCAGUGGGUGCGACUUCACCUGCGGAAACUAAAAAAAUAUAACCACCAUGUUGUUUGGAAGCUAAGCGGAGGCGCUGUGGAGCCAGACGUUAGGACUAUGGUAAUCAAUCUAAUAUGGAAGAAAUUUCUAAAGUAUGAUGGUCGAAUCAGAUCUUCGUGGCUACCUUUAUGAGCCGCAAUAUAGCGAGCAGCGUCUGAGGCUUCUGCAGCCGAGGCAGAGGGCCUGUCUGUCUACCGGCCUACCUCGCUGUGUGCCUACGGACACACGGACGUCUGACUGUAAAACAAUAUCGCCUUUCUGGAAUCCUGCAAGGCGAGAGAUUGGGUAGAGGCCAUCGUGUCGUUUUACCCGCUUAUGUGGUGCAGGCUAUCCGACAGAAACAUCCAGCUCCAGAUGGCCAGUACUGCGGCACCGAGGAGUUGAGGAUGCUCAGGAGGAACUAUAACUGUCAUUGUUAACAUAUUUGUUUUUGUUGUUGUUGAUAUAUUUUUGUAAAUAAAUGGUUUACAUUCA